rnacentral:pre_miRNA from 1 species
GGUGGGGGGGGGGAUCCCUCAGCCCAGAUUGUGAGAGGGCGCAGGCCAGGCCAAGGGACCCCACCGGUGCACA